rnacentral:rRNA from 1 species
ACUUUGAUUCUGGCUCGGGACGAACGCUGGCGGCGCGCCUAACACAUGCAAGUCGAGCGGGAAGCUUUUUAAGGAUUCUUCGGAUGAAUUAAAAAGUGGAGAGCGGCGGACGGGUGAGUAACGCGUGAGAAACCUGCCCUAUACAGGGGGAUAGCCAUUGGAAACGAUGAUUAAUACCCCAUAUGACCACAGUAUCGCAUGAUACAGCGGUGAAAACUCCGGUGGUAUAGGAUGGUCUCGCGUCUGAUUAGCUAGUUGGUGGGGUAACGGCCUACCAAGGCGACGAUCAGUAGCCGGCCUGAGAGGGUGACCGGCCACACUGGAACUGAGACACGGUCCAGACUCCUACGGGAGGCAGCAGUGGGGAAUAUUGCACAAUGGGCGAAAGCCUGAUGCAGCGACGCCGCGUGAACGAUGAAGGCUUUCGAGUCGUAAAGUUCUGUUCUUGGGGAAGAUAACGACGGUACCCAAGGAGAAAGCACCGGCUAAAUACGUGCCAGCAGCCGCGGUA